GACGAACGCUGGCGGCGUGCUUAACACAUGCAAGUCGAACGGAAAGGCCCUGCUUUUGUGGGGUGCUCGAGUGGCGAACGGGUGAGUAACACGUGAGUAACCUGCCCUUGACUUUGGGAUAACUUCAGGAAACUGGGGCUAAUACCGGAUAGGAGCUCCUGCUGCAUGGUGGGGGUUGGAAAGUUUCGACGGUUGGGGAUGGACUCGCGGCUUAUCAGCUUGUUGGUGGGGUAGUGGCUUACCAAGGCUUUGACGGGUAGCCGGCCUGAGAGGGUGACCGGCCACAUUGGGACUGAGACACGGUCCAGACUCCUACGGGAGGCAGCAGUGGGGAAUUUUGCGCAAUGGGCGAAAGCCUGACGCAGCAACGCCGCGUGGAGGAUGAAGGCCUUCGGGUCGUAAACUCCUGUCAGUGGGGACGAAUGCUUCGCAAGAAGUUUGACUGUACCCGCUGAGGAAGCCACGGCUAACUCCGUGCCAGCCGCCGCGGUAA
rnacentral:rRNA from 1 species